GAUGAACGCUGGCGGCGUGCCUAACACAUGCAAGUCGAACGGAGUCGUUUUGGAAAUCUCUUCGGAGAUGGAAUUCUCGACUUAGUGGCGGACGGGUGAGUAACGCGUGAGCAAUCUGCCUUUAAGAGGGGGAUAACAGUCGGAAACGGCUGCUAAUACCGCAUAAAGCAUUAAAUUCGCAUGUUUUUGAUGUCAAAGGAGCAAUCCGCUUUUAGAUGAGCUCGCGUCUGUUUAGCUAGUUGGCGGGGUAACGGCCCACCAAGGCGACGAUGAGUAGCCGGACGGAGGGGAGGAACGGCCGCAAUGGGACUGAGACGCGACGGAGACGCCUACGGGGGGAGGCAGUGGGGAAUAUUGCGCAAUGGUGGAAACCCUGACGAAGCAACGCCGCCGGAUGGAAGAAGGCCUUCGGGUUGUAAAGAUCUUUAAUCAGGGACGAAACAAAUGACGGUACCUGAAGAAUAAGCUCCGGCUAACUACGUG
rnacentral:rRNA from 1 species